rnacentral:rRNA from 1 species
UACGUAGGGUGCAAGCGUUGUCCGGAAUUAUUGGGCGUAAAGAGCUCGUAGGCGGCUUGUCACGUCGACUGUGAAAACCCGGGGCUCAACUCCGGGCCUGCAGUCGAUACGGGCUGGCUUGAGUGCGGUAGGGGAGACUGGAACUCCUGGUGUAGCGGUGGAAUGCGCAGAUAUCAGGAAGAACACCGACGGCGAAGGCAGCUCGCUGGGACGGUACUGACGCUGAGGCGCGAAAGCCAGGGGAGCAAACGGG